GGGAUUGUAGUCCGGCCGCCCUGUGACUAACGGCUGGAACCGCCUAAGACACCACCCCAGCCAGCAUGGCCGGCAGGAGCGCACCGCGCUGUCUCCCUCCAGGGAUCCGCACCGCCCUACAAUCCUGCUUUGUGCUGAGAUUGUAGUCCUGCAGGCGUACAACUAACAAGCUGGGUGCAGAUAAGAGACUACAGCUCCCCGCAUCCCAAGCAAAGGUCCCUCCUCUACGGAGCCCCUCCACGCGUCCACUGCGGUUCCGCCGUGCCAAGGGGAGCUUGGCUGUUCACGGGCCUCACCUGCUAGCGAGAAGAUAGCUUGGCCGGGCGGCUGAUCUCACCUUGUAAUUCUGACACUGUGUCUCCCGGGCUUGUCGGCUUCAUGACUUGUGCCCAAAGUUUGAUUUCUCGCAGACCAGGAGGACCCAUUGGACCCCCGGGCUGGCUGCAGGGCCCACACCUGGGUUAGACCUCGCACAGGGACGCUGCUGCCACUGUAAUAAAGCGUGCCUACACGCUUCUGAAACUGGUGUAGGAACAACCUCAGUUCUGUGAAAGGCGGACGCAGCAGGACAGAAUCUCCGUGGACAUCUGUCUGGAGGAGCAAUUUUACUGCGACAUUUUAAAGAAACAAAUUUAAUUGAUUUCCAAGGGUGUCCAUCGCGCUUCCUUCACUGCCUUGAUCAUGUCGGGGUCACCACCUGCGGGGGUUUGUCCUGCAGACCCUGACUCAACGACGGAUGAAUAAUGUACACUGACACAGAUCUUAUGCUUGUCAGUCCUGCUGAGCAUCCAGGCCACUUACAGACUCCAAGAAGAGUCCUGUCAGCCACGGCUCUGACUUGUUGGCCCUCCCGGCAUUUAUUUAGCACACAUUUAAUGACAGAAGUCUCAGGCUGGAAACACUCUUUUUGUAGAACAUACAAAUGGACAUUUCUAAGCACAUUGAGGCCUAUAAUGAAAAAUCAAAUAUCCCACAAUGAAAACUAGAAGGAAGCUAUCUGUGAUAAUGCUUUGUGGUGUAUGGAUUCAUCUCACUGACUGAAACCUGAGUUUUGAUUCACCAGGCUGGAAACACUGUUUUCGUAGAACCUACAAAAAGACAUUGGGGAGCCCACUGAGUCUUACAGUGAUAAACCAAGGAUCCUGUGAUAAAACUAGAAACAAGCUAUCUGUGAAAAUGCUUUGCAGUUGGUGAAUUUCUUUCAUAGUUAAACCUUUUUUUAUUCAAUACGUUGGAAACACCAUUUUUUAGUGUCUCUAAAGGGACUUUUUCAGCCCUUUGAAACCUAUAGUGAAAAACCAAAUAUCUUGCAAUAAAAACAAAUAAACAAAAAAGAACUACUUAUGAAAA
rnacentral:lncRNA from 1 species